GAGGGUAUCGCUCAAGUGGCAGAGCGCAUGCUUAGCAUGCAGGAGGUCCUGGGUCCAAUCCCCAGUAUUUCCU
rnacentral:tRNA from 1 species